rnacentral:rRNA from 1 species
CAAUAGCGUAUAUUAACGUUGUUGCAGUUAAAAAGCUCGUAGUUGGAUUUCUGGAGGGAGCGUCGGCCCGUAUUUACGAGUGCGUGACGUCUCUGUCCAUCCUUGCGGGAAGGCACGGCAUUGAUUUGUUGUGUCGGAUCGCAUCAUUUACUGUGAAAAAAUUAGAGUGUUCAAAGCAGGCUUUCGCUUGAAUACAUUAGCAUGGAAUAAUAAGAUAGGACUUUGGUGCUAUUUUGUUGGUUGAGCCUAAGGUAAUGAUUAAUAGGGAUAGUUGGGGGCACCUGUAUUGCGUUGUCAGAGGUGAAAUUCUUGGAUUUACGCAAGACAAACAGCUGCGAAAGCGUCUGCCAAGGAUGUUUUCAUUAA